UACGUAGGGGGCAAGCGUUGUCCGGAAUCAUUGGGCGUAAAGAGCGUGUAGGCGGCUCGGUAAGUCCGCUCUGAAAGCCCGGGGCUCAACCCCGGGAGGCGGGCGGAUACUGUCGGGCUAGAGUCCGGAAGAGGCGAGUGGAAUUCCUGGUGUAGCGGUGAAAUGCGCAGAUAUCAGGAGGAACACCAAUGGCGAAGGCAGCUCGCUGGGACGGUACUGACGCUGAGACGCGAAAGCGUGGGAGCAAACAGG
rnacentral:rRNA from 1 species